rnacentral:rRNA from 1 species
GAUGAACGCUGGCGGCGUGCCUAAUACAUGCAAGUCGAGCGAACGGAUGAGGAGCUUGCUUCUUUGACGUUAGCGGCGGACGGGUGAGUAACACGUGGCUAACCUACCUAUAAGACUGGAAUAACUACGGGAAACCGGGGCUAAUGCCGGAUAACAUUUAGAACCGCAUGGUUCUAAAGUGAAAGAUGGUUUUGCUAUCACUUAUAGAUGGACCCGCGCCGGAUUAGCUAGUUGGUAAGGUAACGGCUUACCAAGGCAACGAUGCGUAGCCGACCUGAGAGGGUGAUCGGCCACACUGGAACUGAGACACGGUCCAGACUCCUACGGGAGGCAGCAGUAGGGAAUCUUCCGCAAUGGGCGAAAGCCUGACGGAGCAACGCCGCGUGAGUGAUGAAGGUCUUCGGAUCGUAAAACUCUGUUAUUAGGGAAGAACAGAUGUGUAAUUAACUGUGCACGUCUUGACGGUACCUAAUCAGAAAGCCACGGCUAACUACGUG